AAACCCAAAAAAGCAAAGAGAGAAAUAGAAAAAGGAGUAAAAUAUCCCUCUUUUUCGAGAAGAAAAUAAACAUUGCCCAGACACCAGAACAGCAUAUGAUGUCAGAGUUUACAGGUCACUCACCACAGACCCAUUUCUCAGAGGGGUGACAUUUUACAAGAAGGCCUGGAGGCCCCUGCACUAUAUCCACUCUUUGUGGUGCCUGAUGCUGGGCUUCAUUGUACAGUGUUGUUCCCAGAGUGACGGAAAAGUUCGCUCUCAGACAACUGCUGCGGAGGUGCAGCUUUUUAAUAAACAGAAAAAAUCCUGCAGGGAAGAUCUUUGUCCCUAAUUGCCUCUCCUCCUCCUCCUCUACAAUUCUGUACUGAGCGACACGGUUGACGGGUCAGUCUAUUCAUUAACAGAAACAGAAGGAUGUGGCCACUGCAGGAAGUAACUUGAAAACUGCUGCAGCUGACUUCAAAGAUGCUCCCUUAUCAUCCUAAACAGACGGGAGAACGGCCUCUCUGUGCAUAGGAGAGUGCGGAGGACAACAAAGUAAAUGACAACAUCCAUCUACCCCUAAGACGCAAACUUCCUCCAGCCCCUGAAGGCUUCUUCUCGUGUGCUGCAAGCCUGAAUUUACAGAAUGUGUGCAAUUUUUUGUCGUUGUGUCCAAGUCGCUUGUACAUUUGUUUUUGUUUUUUUGUGUGUGUGUAAUAGACCUGAUAAAUCAUCACAUGGGUGAGUCAGGAUGUGGAUUAAAAGAUAUUUAAAAAUGUUUUGGAAAAUACAGAUCCGAGUCGCUUCCACAGCGUCUUUUAUAGCGGAGGUCAUAUUGUUGGUCUGCAGCACUCAGGCUUUAACACCAGUACAACCCAGACGUACUUAUACUUCCAGAAAGUAACUCCAUCAUGCAUUUUAACCCCUUAGAUUGCCAAUAUCCUCAUCUGACUUGACUACGUUUUAGAUCACGUACCAUGAACCAUACUAUAGGUUUCUGAAAACAUUAGCAAAUAAUCUUGAUUCCAUGAUGAGAAAUCGGGAUUAGCAAAAUGUGUUCAGGUGGUUUGACUUCACUUUACGCCUCUGCUGGUUUUCAUUUGUGUUUAUAGUGACUUUGACGAUAAUGUAUGGAUCCUUUGUCCUUUUGUUUUACAAGGAUUUAUGAUGUUCUUUUAAUAUUUGUAUGAUACCCUUCGAAAGUGAGUCCACAAUUUAUAGAGAGUAGAGAAAAAUAAUAAUAAAAAUAAAAAAUAAUUGCAACUUCUGCUAUCUCAUGCUUAUUUGACUGGACAUUUCAUAUGCC